UCCGCCCGAGAACUACGAGCACAAACGCUUAAAACUCUAAGGACUUGGCGGUGUCUCAAACCCACCUAGAGGAGCCUGUUCUGUAAUCGAUAAUCCACGAUAUACCUAACCAUUCCUAGCUCAGAUUCAGCCUACAUACCGCCGUCUCCAGCCCACCCUUCCUGAUGGUUCAACAGUGAGCGCAAUAGUCCACCUACACUAGCAAGACAGGUCAAGGUAUAGCCUAUGGAAUGGAAGCAAUGGGCUACAUUUUCUAAAUUAGAACAUUACGGCAAAGGGGCGUGAAACAGCCCCUAGAAGGAGGAUUUAGCAGUAA
rnacentral:rRNA from 1 species